AGAGUUUGAUCCUGGCUCAGAACUAACGCUGGCGGCGUGCCUAAACACAUGCAAGUCGAACGAAGAAAGCCGCAAAGGUGAGUAAAGUGGCGGACGGGUGCGUAACACGUGGGUAAAUCUAACCUAUUGGCUUGGGAUAAACAGUCCGAAAAGGAUUGCUAAAUACCGGGAUAAAGACCACAGCUUCUGCGGGAGUGGUGGUAAAAAGGCGCUCGCAAGGGUGCCACCGAUUGAUGAGCCCGCGGCCUAUCAGCUUGUUGGCGGGGUAACGGCCCACCAAGGCUACGACGGGUAGCUGGUCUGAGAGGACGACCAGUCACACUGGAACUGAGACACGGUCCAGACUCCUACGGGAAGGCAGCAGUGGGGAAUAUUGCGCAAUGGACGAAAGUCUGACGCAGCAACGCCGCGUGGGUGAUGAAGGCCUUCGGGUUGUAAAGCCCUGUCGCCCGGGACGAACAAGUCGUCUAACUAACGACUCUGACGGUACCGGGAGAGGAAGCACCGGCUAACUCUGUGCCAGCAGCCGCGGUAAUACAGAGGGUGCUAGCGUUGUUCGGAAUUAUUGGGCGUAAAGGGCGCGUAGGCGGCCCUGUGUGUCGGGUGUGAAAGCCCACCUCUUAAAGGUGGAAUUGCAUUCGAAACUACAGGGCUGGAGUGUCGGAGAGGAUGGCGGAAUUCCUGGUGUAGAGGUGAAAUUCGUAGAUAUCAGGAGGAACACCGGUGGCGAAGGCGGCCAUCUGGACGACAACUGACGCUGAGGCGCGAAAGCGUGGGGAUCAAACAGGAUUAGAUACCCUGGUAGUCCACGCUGUAAACGAUGGGUGCUAGGUGUUGUGGGUAUUGACCCCCGCAGUGCCGUCGCUAACGCAUUAAGCACCCCGCCUGGGGAGUACGGCCGCAAGCUAAAACUCAAAGGAAUUGACGGGGGACCGCACAAGCGGUGGAGCAUGUGGUUCAAUUCGACGCAACGCGCAGAACCUUACCUGGGCUUGACAUCCACGGAACCUCUUGGAAACAAGAGGGUGCCUCGCAAGAGGAGCCGUGAGACAGGUGCUGCAUGGCUGUCGUCAGCUCGUGUCGUGAGAUGUUGGGUUAAGUCCCGCAACGAGCGCAACCCUUGUCUGUAGUUGCCAGCGAGUCAUGUCGGGCACUCUACAGAGACUGCCGGCGUUAAGCCGGAGGAAGGCAGGGAUGACGUCAAGUCCUCAUGGCCUUUAUGCCCAGGGCUACACACGUGCUACAAUGGCGACCACAAACCGUUGCUAACUCGCGAGAGUACGCUAAUCGGAAAAAAGUCGCCUCAGUUCAGAUUSCAGUCUGCAACUCGACUGCAUGAAGGCGGAAUCGCUAGUAAUCGCGCAUCAGAACGGCGCGGUGAAUACGUUCCCGGGCCUUGUACACACCGCCCGUCACACCACGAAAGUCGCUUGGACCAGAAAUGCGCUCACCAAGAGCGCACYUAAGGUCUGAGUGGUGAUUGGGGUGAAGUCGUAACAAGGUAACC
rnacentral:rRNA from 1 species